rnacentral:lncRNA from 1 species
CUGAAUUUCAUUCAGCCCGUUACCAUCCUUAUCAUUGUCAUUAUUAUUCUUUAGCUAUUGAGGGCAAGAAAUUAUGUACAAAAAUCCAGAGGCUUCUACACUUUUCUAGAGCAGGUGAUGAGCUCCCAAGCUUCACCAAAGGAGGCUGUGUUUUCACCAAGUACCACAAAGCACCAAGGCUGAAGCUGGAAUGGCACUUUUCCAAUACCCUUACCAAAAAUAACUUGAGCUUUGGCCCCACUGCCUGCUGCUCUCAGUGUGAGUGUCACAGAAACAUAUGCGGCCUUUCCUCUGGAAAGGUGAGACAGUGCUCAUGAAAAUGACUUGGCUAUCACCAACAAGGGAGGUGAUUUGUUCUACAGCCAGCUCUCCCCUCUACCGGUCCUCAGCCAGUGAAAGAAGAAUGACUUGGAAGAUGACAUCAAAUCAGGCUUGCUAUAUGGAGCUGAAAUUAUAGGCAGCAAAUCUCCCUUUUCUCCAAACAUUGCUUUGUGGAGUACAAGAAGCUGCUGAAAAAUGAGCAAAUGCACAUAAAUCCCAGGAUGUGAAAGAUCACUAAGUAAACCUUCUUAGUAGGGAUGUGACGGAGAAGACACACAAACUUGAGACUUGCCAGCUGGUAAUAGACUUGGUUCCGACACUGACUUAAUGAAACAAAGAUGUAACAUUGGUUGAGAUUUGGGCCUUCAGAAUCAUAGACCCUGGGAUAAUAGCCCGACGCUGCCCCAUCAGCUGUAUGAGCUAAUUGGCAGUUGUUUCCUUCGUAAUUUGGGAAUCUGCUAUGCCUACCUCAUAGGAUUUCCAAAGGAUUAAAACAGAUCAUGCCUGGGAAGUGUUUGCACAAUGCCUGGAACAGAAUCAGUGCUGAGUAAAUGAGACCCACGAUUUCUAGAGUUAAGCAAGUUAUUUCUCCUUUUAGGGCCGUGUGUAUGUGUGUGCGUGUGCACGUGCGCGCGCAUACCCAGAUGCCAUCUCCACCCCCAAAAUGUUCCUGAAGAUCUCUACAGGACCCUGUUGAGUCUCCUUAGUAAAACUACUAAUUACUAAGGUUUUUUUGUUUAUUUUUUGGUUUUUGUUAUUGUUUUUAUUUUUGUUUUGAGAUGGAGUUUUGCUCUUGUUGCCCAGGCUGGAGUGUAAUAGCACAAUCUUGGCUCAGCAGAACCUCCACUUCCUGGGUUCAAGUGAUUCUCCUGCCUCAGCCUCCU